GUAAGUAAAUAACUAGAACACAGGAAGUUUAAGUUUGUUUGCAGGAUUUUUUUUUUCUUUUUUGAGACCUGCAGGUCUCACUCUGUCACACAGGCUGGAGUGCAGUUGCGUGACCACCACUCACCACAGCCUCAACCUCCCAGGCUCAGAAACAGGUUUGGCCACAUUGCCCAGGCUGGUCUCAAACUCCUGGCCUCAAGCAAUUGCCCACCUCGGCCUCCCAAAGUGCUGGGAUUAUACGCAUGAGCCACCAGGCCAGGCCCUGCAGGAUAUUUGUUGAAGUCAACCUCUGGUUGUUGGUAAGCGGCUGUUGUCCGUUUCUAAUAAAAAGUGUUGAAGACAGUAUCUAGACUCUGAGUCCCUUCUCUGUGUGGUGCUGAAGACACCAGAAAAUAGCAGUAGGAUCGGAUCCUCCUCACAUGGCAUCUCCUAUCCAUCCCAAGAAUCCUCUGUCAACACAUGACCUCAGGACAAACAUGUUACAAUUCAUUACAUCGCCGAUUAUCUUUCAUUAGUUACAUUUGAAUCGGUGCUUCCCUAAUGGUAUUUUAGGCACCAUCCUCAUUGCAGCAGCAGCCCAUUUACAACGCAUCGCUUGGGGAGAGUUACUUCCUGGGAAGAUUUCCACAGAUGGCUGAUGGCAUGCAUUUUGUGUUUGGCAGGCAUAACCAUGACUCCCUUGAGGCUUCACAGCAAACCGGGAAGCCUUCCAGUCUGUGUGGCUGAAUUUCAACCCCUCGGGCAAGGUAGAUGGCGUCUUAAGGUAUCUUCUUGAGCGCUCAGGCUCACUGGAAGUUGUUGAACAACACAAACAAAGCAAGCCAAGGCUGAAUUUACAACAGGCCACCUACCCCCGCCAGCCCCUGCCAGAAUGAAAGUCAAUUUCUGGCAUUUGGAGGGAAAUGAUCAAACAUUGUUCGGUAGGAAACUCAGAAAGGCUUGCCUACAAAUAGUUUCCACCAGGCAAGAGCUUCAGCUGGCAGGGCUCUAUAUAUAGGACUCACACGAGGGAGGUCUGCAGCCCCGUCUGUGCGGAUAGUACACCCUUCCAGGCUGAAAAUAUUGGUCAUACACAAAUCCUGUCAGACAUAAUGGGAAAACAAGAGUAGACAAUGGACCUCAUGUGGGCGGAAGGCUUCAUCCAGAAAUCCAAGUACCUGCAGGCAAAGUUUGAAGUUCCACUUUCAUUCAUUGAACAAAAGCUCGUGAGUGCCUUUUACGCAGCCAGACGCUGCGCUAUACACUAUGAAUAGAACAGCUAAUAAAAACAGAUGUUUACUCAGACAUUUAAAAAUAUUAAUUGUAGAAUGCAUAAUUAUCCUAUGCAACACUCGGAAUGAAAAAAUAAUGCUGCCUAUUCAACAUAUCCAUUUUAAGGUGCAUUCUGAUUUCACAGAUGUUAAAAUAUGAAAAAUGUACAUUUCAUAAUCAAUAAAAAAUGGUUAUUCUUGCCUUUACUGGGGGUAGAUAUUAAGCAAAUAUAUAAAUAAAUGUAUAAUGACAAGUAAAAUGUUACAAAUUUUGAUAAGUGUCAUUUUAAAAGAAAAUAAGGUAUAAGCUUUAUGUGGACAUAUGUUCUGAAUUGUUACCUUUACGCUUACAUUCCAAAGUGUAAAAUUUUCUAAACUCAUCUCUAAAUUAUGGAGUCAUCUACCCUGCAUCUUGAAGCCUCGUAUGUACAUCCCGUUCCAUAUGGCUUAAUAGAAAAGUGCAACUUUGGGGUCAGACAGACCUGAACUUAAAUCCCAGCUAUGUGACAUCAGAUAUUUUGUCUCCUAAAUUAGACGUUAGAAAUAAAACCACUUACCUAAAACUGGUAAUGAUUUAAAUAUAUUUAAAUCUCCUAGAUCCUCAUAGGCACCUAAUAAAUGAAAUAUAUAACCACAUUUUUUAUCUGCAAAAGAGUUAUGACUACCAUUUAUGGCAAUAUCAAUGGAGAGGACGAAUUCCUAAAUCUUAACCUAACCCACACAUUUCAGUCGAGAGCUGGUUGAAAAUUUUGCUCUCAAUUUCUGAGUAUGUCCUAGCAAAAGAGUGGAUCCAAGUUUUAUCAGUUACUAGCUACACGUUUUUCAUGGAUUUCCAUCUUUAAGAAUGUCUUACUGAGGCCCAACAGGAUCAAACACAUUCAUCAGUUUAAUAGCCUUGUAAACAAUGAUACAAACUACAGCAUAUAAAAAUGGCAAAUGAGUUCAGUGGGAUGAGAGAGUUCCAUAUUUCACCCAUCAAGCGCUGCACAUUUGUCUUCACGCUUUACCAUAUUGAAAUGUGGUCAUUCCAAAUGCAACAUGAUAUUUCAUCUUAUAUUCAAUGCCCUCUUAUAAUUGCUGUUGGCCAGACAAAAAUCAUGACAUGAGUGUCCUUACCAGAGCUUGUGCACACCCAGCUGUCACCCAAGUGGCACCACAAGGCCACAACAAUACCAGGAAGUUACAGCCAACAAACCACAGAAGCUCCAUGUGAGGAAGAAAUGUGUGUCCCGGUUGUUUUCUAGAAAUCUUCACUGUCACCUUCUGGGAAGAUCCAGAAAACACCAGCACUGCAACUUGCAGGAAGGAUGUUAGUAGAUUGGAAGAAAAUCCCAGAAGAGUCAGACCCUACAUGUGAAGAAGUUUUAGAAGUUUCUUAACUAAUUCAUUGCACUUAUCUUUGUAUGGAUGCAUGGGGGUGAUGUUUAAAAGAGCUUCAAUUAAAAUAAAAUUGAAAUUCUAAGAAAGCAAUGAAGCCUAGUUUAAUGGACAGGUGUUUUUCCUUCUUGGUGGUUAAUGACACAGUAAUGUGUUUCAUCUGAUAAUGGAUUAGGUCAGAUGAAUACAGUUUUGUGAGUUCUAAUGAUCAAAGGAAACUUUUGGAGAAGGGAGAAUUUAAGGCAAGCCCUAUAGAAGAAUAAGAUUCAAAUUAGUAGAUAGGAAAACUAGAGUGUAACAUAUGUGAAAAAUUAUCUUGGAGACUGGAAUUCAACAGAGCCCGUCUUGUGCUGCAAUUUUAAGUAAAAAUGAUUGAUUAAUCUCUGAAAGGUAUGUUGAGGCUGAAUGGUGGGCGUCAAUCUAAGGUAGUGGGCCUUGCAGGCAAUUAAGGAGUCACUGAAUUAAUGAAAGUCUUGUUUAGGAAGGUUAUGCUGGUAUUAUAGCUGCACGCCGGUAAGGAUGAAGUAGAGAGAGACUGAAGGCAGUCUCCUGGGCAUGAAGAAAUAAAGAAUUCAAUAGAGGGAGGUGGAAACUGUGGUCACCCAAACAACCUAAAAAUGAAUAAACUCGCAAGCUGAAUAAAAGGGGCAAGUCUCCUUGUCUCUGUCCAAUAUAUUGCUGCCCCUAAGCUACUCCUCUAGAGAAAUCCUGGUUGAGGAAGGAAUGAGAAAGAACAGAUAGAACACACCAGAAAGAAAAAAAACACACACAAAUAACAAUGGAACUUGACAACCGGUAACAGAGAAAAGGACACCAUUGUCAGAGAGGAUUCCAUGUUUCCCAGCUUGGGUAAA
rnacentral:lncRNA from 10 species